AGGUGGGUGGCCUGUUUGUUCCUUCCCCCAAGAUCCUUGUGUGUCUUUCCUGAAGUUGGUUGCUCAUGGAAGAAGAAGUCCUUCCCUGAAUAGAAGAGAACACAUCUUCUAUCAAGGGUGUGUGAGUAGCUGUGCUCCCCUUCAAGGACUUCCAAACAAGUUCUUAGUGGUUCAAGGUCAGCCUCAACUAUACAGUCAAUUCUGUGUUUGUCUGGGCUAUGAGACCCUGUCCCUAAAAAC
ensembl:misc_RNA 7SK 7SK RNA